rnacentral:rRNA from 1 species
AAUGAACGCUGGCGGCAGGCCUAAUACAUGCAAGUCGAGCGCAGGAAACUGACGGAACUCUUCGGAGGGAAGGCAGUGGAAUGAGCGGCGGGCGGGUGAGUAACACGUAAGGAACCUGCCUCAAGGAUUGGGAUAACUCCGAGAAAUCGGAGCUAAUACCGGAUAGUUCAUCGGACCGCAUGGUCCGAUGAUGAAAGGCGCUUCGGCGUCACCUUGAGAUGGCCUUGCGGUGCAUUAGCUAGUUGGUGGGGUAACGGCCCACCAAGGCGACGAUGAAUAGCCGACCUGGGAGGGUGAUCGGCCACACUGGGACUGGGACACGGCCCAGACUCCUACGGGAGGCAGCAGUAGGGAAUCUUCCACAAUGGACGAAAGUCUGACGGAGCAACGCCGCGUGAGUGAUGAAGGUUUUCGGAUCGUAAAACUCUGUUGUAAGGGAAGAACACGUACGAGAGGAAAUGCUCGUACCUUGACGGUACCUUACGAGAAAGCCACGGCUAACUACGUGCCAGCCGCCGCCGUAA